rnacentral:rRNA from 1 species
AACGAACGCUGGCGGCAGGCCUAACACAUGCAAGUCGAGCGAACCCUUCGGGGUUAGCGGCGGACGGGUUAGUAACGCGUGGGAAUAUACCCUUUGGUACGGAAUAGCCUCGGGAAACUGAGAGUAAUACCGUAUGUGCCCUUCGGGGAAGAUUUAUCGCCAAAGGAUUAGCCCGCGUUGGAUUAGAUAGUUGGUGGGGUAAUGGCCUACCAAGUCUACGAUCCAUAGCUGGUUUGAGAGGAUGAUCAGCAACACUGGGACUGAGACACGGCCCAGACUCCUACGGGAGGCAGCAGUGGGGAAUCUUAGACAAUGGGCGCAAGCCUGAUCUAGCCAUGCCGCGUGGACGAUGAAGGGCCCUUAGGGGUUGUAAAGUCCCUUUCAGAUGGGAAGAUAAUGACGGUACCAUCAGAAGAAGCCCCGGCCAACUCCGUG